GACGAACGCUGGCGGCGUGCUUAACACAUGCUAGUCGAACGAUGAAGCCGGAGCUUGCUCUGGUGAAUUAGUGGCGAACGGGUGAGUAACACGUGAGUAACCUGCCCUUGACUCUGGGAUAACUGCGGGAAACUGUAGCUAAUACCGGAUACGACCCUCGGAGGCAUCUCCUGGGGGUGGAAAGAAUUUCGGUCAAGGAUGGACUCGCGGCCUAUCAGCUAGUUGGUGAGGUAAAGGCUCACCAAGGCGACGACGGGUAGCCGGCCUGAGAGGGUGACCGGCCACACUGGGACUGAGACACGGCCCAGACUCCUACGGGAGGCAGCAGUGGGGAAUAUUGCACAAUGGGCGCAAGCCUGAUGCAGCAACGCCGCGUGAGGGACGACGGCCUUCGGGUUGUAAACCUCUUUUAGUAGGGAAGAAGCGAAAGUGACGGUACCUGCAGAAGAAGCACCGGCUAACUACGUGCCAGCCGCCGCCGUAA
rnacentral:rRNA from 1 species